CAAGAUCAUGGCACCUGCAGAGGUUCAAUGUCUGAAGUAAGGACCAUCCAUCCCCAUGAGGAGACUUUUAUGAGGAGGAGUCCCCAUGACAGGAGGAGGCAGUGAAGACACCCACUGCUUUGGAACAGCUGGUCUCUACAAAUGCAGGACAGAAAGUAAAACCACCCUUGUCGUACUCUAUGGAGCCUGCAGCAGCCAUCUUGUGAACCUGCAGCAAACCACUCACUAUGGAUGACAGAGCAGAAAAACAGAAGAAGCUUCGGUCUGCGGUGAUUGCACAGAUCUAAGCUAACGGUCAACUGCUUGCUUCUGGGGUUAUUUUAUGUUAAAGAAUAAAUCAUGCUGUGUUUCA